UUGUAGUCGCUCAAUGUGAAU
rnacentral:piRNA from 1 species